UCUGUUCUCAAGCUGAUUUUUGCUCAUCUUGUGCCCUUACAGAGAGAACAUAUCUGAAGCAUAUCAGACUGGGUGGGACCAGUCUGAUAUGCUUCAGAUAUGUUCUCUCUGUAAGGGCACAAGAUGAGCAAAAAUCAGUUUGAGAACUG